AACGGUCUAUACCUGCGGUACCUGCGGAGGGAUCAUUAAUGAGAAACUGCCCCUCGCGGGUAGAUCUCCCACCCUUUGUAAACUUACCUUUGUUGCUUUGGCAGGCCCGUCUCCGGACCGCCGGCUUCGGCUGGCCAGUGCCUGCCAGAGGAUUCUAAAACUCUGUCUGUCAGUGUUGUCUGAGUCUAUUUACAAUCGUUAAAACUUUCAACAACGGAUCUCUAGAUCGGAAGAGCACAC
rnacentral:misc_RNA from 1 species